ensembl:snRNA U6 U6 spliceosomal RNA
GUCCUUACUUCAACAGCACAAAUAUUAAAAUUGGAACAACACAGAGAAGAUUAACAUGGUCUCUGCACAAGGAUGGCACUUGAAUUUACAAAGCAUUCCAUAUUUUA